UUGCUUAGAUUCUUCGGAUGAAGAGGAUUGUGACUGAGCGGCGGACGGGUGAGUAACGCGUGGGUAACCUGCCUCAUACAGGGGGAUAACAGUUAGAAAUGACUGCUAAUACCGCAUAAGACCACAGCACCGCAUGGUGCGGGGGUAAAAACUCCGGUGGUAUGAGAUGGACCCGCGUCUGAUUAGCUAGUUGGUAAGGUAACGGCUUACCAAGGCGACGAUCAGUAGCCGACCUGAGAGGGUGACCGGCCACAUUGGGACUGAGACACGGCCCAAACUCCUACGGGAGGCAGCAGUGGGGAAUAUUGCACAAUGGGGGAAACCCUGAUGCAGCGACGCCGCGUGAGCGAAGAAGUAUUUCGGUAUGUAAAGCUCUAUCAGCAGGGAAGAAAAUGACGGUACCUGACUAAGAAGCACCGGCUAAAUACGUGCCAGCAGCCGCGGUAAUACGUAUGGUGCAAGCGUUAUCCGGAUUUACUGGGUGUAAAGGGAGCGUAGACGGAUGGGCAAAGUCUGAUGUGAAAACCCGGGGCUCAACCCCGGGACUGCAUUGGAAACUGUUCAUCUAGAGUGCUGGAGAGGUAAGUGGAAUUCUAGUGUAGCGGUGAAAUGC
rnacentral:rRNA from 1 species